rnacentral:rRNA from 1 species
GACGAACGCUGGCGGCGUGCUUAACACAUGCAAGUCGAGCGGUAAGGCCCUUUCGGGGGUACACGAGCGGCGAACGGGUGAGUAACACGUGGGUGACCUGCCCUCAGCUCUGGGAUAAGCCUGGGAAACCGGGUCUAAUACUGGAUAUGACUCCAUGACGCAUGUUGUGGGGUGGAAAGCCUUGUGCGGCUGAGGAUGGGCCCGCGGCCUAUCAGCUUGUUGGUGGGGGAUGGCCUACCAAGGCGACGACGGGUAGCCGGCCUGAGAGGGCGACCGGCCACACUGGGACUGAGACACGGCCCAGACUCCUACGGGAGGCAGCAGUGGGGAAUCUUGCGCAAUGGGCGAAAGCCUGACGCAGCGACGCCGCGUGAGGGAUGACGGCCUGUGU